AUACAAUCAAAACACUUAGAAAAAUUCUAUUGUUUCUCUCCAUCCUUAAAAUUGUAGAAUAGACUCCGAUCCGACCCGCUGUUGCCUCCACCUAUUUUCCGCCAUCGCCUCCACCCUUGCUCUACCAUCGCUAGUGGAAGGUAGCUCAGAAACCACCGUAAGUUGACAACCUUCACCGCCUAGGUUCAAAGGCUCUCAUUUGCGCUACGUUUUAGGGCACGAAAUCUACGGAGCCCGAUGAAUUGAUAUAUGGGAUUUGCUCGGAGCUAUUAUACUAUAGUGUUGGUUCAAUUCAUCAAGGUGCAAAGAUGUUUCGUAUCUCCAAAUCUUGUGAAGAAUUUUGUUAACCGUUGGAUGAAGCUCUAGAUAUCCCUGGAAUAUAUAUGGAACUUGGAUCUUAUGUUGGUGAAGUUGUCAAAGUUAUAGGGAAAUCAAAGGUUCUAGUGAAGAUUUUGGUUUCUUUGGGUUAGACUCGGUUCAACUUAAGUGGGAAAGAGAUGAUGAAGAAGAGAGAAAGAUAGAGCCGUUUUAGCUGCAGAAAACAAUAAAGACUCAAGAGAAGGAGAAAAUUAAUAUCAUUUGAUGGAGGCGCUGGGGAGGUUUAUAGAGAUGAAAUAACAAAGAAAGCAAGAAGAUGAUUGAGGCGGCAACUAUGUGGACGGUGAUCUAGGGCGAUACCCUAGCCAUUGUCAAGGCAUUUGUUACCGCUGUUAUGGUCCCAGAGACUGUACUUAUUCUCCCAAGUAAUGCCGGAGUGAAAUGCUCAAUGAGGUACUCGACGGAGAAAACAUCAAGUGGAGUUACAAGGUUGUACGAUUUUUUUAAAAAUUUUUAUUCUUUUAGAAAUUAAAUUACUUUAGUUGCUUAUAUAAUUCUUAUAUAUCAUUGGAAACACAUUGCAAUUGGUUGACCGCCUCUGAUUGCUUCAUCUGUGAUUUUGCACUCGAUGAGCUUGGUCGUUCAUAGUUGUAUUUGUUAGUCAACCUUAGGAUUGUACUGCAGUUUGAUACCAUAUUUAUUUAUUCACGUAUUACUUUUGGAUUUGGGGAUCAACUGUUAGCAAGUUGUUAAUUGGUUGUUAUGGUGUAUAGCAUGGUGAUUUUUGAAGAUGUUUUAAAGUACUGUUAAUGUCUAGUAUUCUAUUUUUGACACGAAUAUGAAUGUUGUUGGGUUGAUGUCAUUGUACAGAUAUGAACAAGGAUUUCAGAUUAAUAAGGAUAAUAUUAUAUUUUAAAUUAUUUGUGAUGCAAAUUGAUCAAUAAAAAAUUUAACAAUUGGAUUUUAUUCAUGGCGACAAAAUCCUUAUUUGAGACAUGGACACCUUUUGUAGCGGAUUUUUCAUUACGGACAAUGGCCGGUACAUAAAGUGUUUUACGUUUGCAUUACAUUUGUAUCGAAUUUUUUGUUGCGGAAAAAAUUUGUAACAAACAGUUCUCUGACAGGACACUACUUUCAUAACGCAAUGUUUUGUUACGGACGAAGAUUGCAACAAAAAAUUUUCUGACAAGAUUCCAUAUUUGUACCGCAUUUUUUGUUUAAAAAAUAUGUCCUAACAAAUAGUUCUUUGACAGGAUUUAACUUUUGUUCUAAAUUUUUUGUUACGGACAUAUGUUGUUCCAAAAACAUGAUCGAUGCUUUUGUUACGUACAAAAAACGCAACAAAUACAAUAAACACGUGCUUAUUUUGAGGGUUGACCGCCACUUAUUUGUUACUGAAUUCGUUGCAACAUAGAAUUUUUGUACCGCAAUUUUUCUUAGCAGUCAAAAUCCACCACAGAGUUGACACAAAAUGCUAUUGUGCACAAAAAUUGGGUUUUCGUUAUGGAUUUUUGACCGCUACAAAAAGUCCUUUUUUUGGUAGUGUAAUACUAAUGAGAAGUUGCAGCUGGAAGAUGGAACCAAAGCAGCUGAUCGGAGCUAUUUUCAAAGGCUAAUAGGUGGACUAAAUUAUCUUACACAUACUCGUCCUGAUAUCAUGUAUUCGGUGGGUUUGCUAUCCAGGGAUUUAGUGACAGCCAUUGGGCUGCUUGCAUAGACAACAGGAAGAGUGUUUCUGGUCAAAGCUUCAACUUAGGUUCCGGUGCUAUUUCUUGGAGUUCGAGAAAGUAGGAUUUUGUUACAUUGUCCUCAUCCGAAGUGGAGUAUGUUGCGGUGACUGCUGCAGCGUGUCAAGUUGUGUGGUUAAGAAGAAUACUGGCUGAUAUGCACCAAGGGCAAAAGAAUGCAACAACAAUUUAUUGUGACAACAAAGCCACUACUGCAAUGACAAAGAAUCCAGUGUAUCACAAUAGGACAAAGCAUAUCGAUACUUGGUUUCAUUUCAUUCGUAAUUUGGUGGCAAAUGGUGGUCUUCAGUUAGAGUACGUUGCUACAAAUGAUCAAGUUGCAGAUGCUUUUACUAAGGCACUUACUUGGGAGAAGAUUAAGUAUUUCCGAAGGCAACUUGGAGUUUGCAGAUUUGAAGCACGAGGGAGUGUUGAAUAAUAUGCUUCAAAUAUUUUAGAUAAUUAAUUAUAUUAAUAUUAUAAAUAUAUUAAGUAAUUAUCUAAAUAAAGUAUCUUAAUAAAGAGUGAUUAUUAUUUUCUAUAUUUGGAUUGAUUUGAUGUAAUCAAUCUUAAUAUCACUAUCGUAUGUUUUAAUUGUUGAACUCCUUUUUUCCAGAUUGUGAGAAUAAUAUACGUAUCAGUUCUUCUUCUUCCUUGCAGCCUGUGAAACAUCGAUUGACUUUACAAAUCUUUCCUCAACAUUCCAUGCAGGUCGCUGUCAGCCUUUAUCCAGCCGCCGUGAGUCCCAGCGAAGGUCCGCUUCGAAGAGCCACUCCUCCCAUCCGCGACGCUGCUCAGAACCGCCGGUUCACCCCAGAACAGCCGGUUCGAGUCGCAGCCAUCAGCAAGUCCGCGUGUUCCCUACAUAACCGAGAUUCGCCUUCGGUUCGAUUCUUCAGGGAGUUCUUCGACUCUUAAUUUAUAUUGCAUUCUCUUGGGUAACCUCUAUCGAUUAUUGCCGAGAUAUUAUAUAAAAUCAGUUGAUGAGGAAGAAUUUUAAUUUGGGCGAUUUUCGUAGAGGUUCUUUGAUGCAAUCGAUAAAUGGAUGCAUAUAGAUGGUUGUGAGAGAUUAUUGGGUGAUUGAGAUUGUCGAUUAACAUUUGAAUGCUUUGUUGUGGAAUUGUUCUUGGUGUUGGAAUUUAUUUAGGAAUUGUAAUUUGAUUGUUGAAUUCUUUUGCGUGAAGGCGCGAUGAGCAAGGUGCAAAAGUCAGAUCCCCUCCUACUACUCCGACCAGUGCGAGCAUCGUCCGUCUAUCCGUCAGUGACUUGUCGCCCCACCUAUUCCAGGGAAGUUUCUUUUCUCCUUCUCUUUUGUUUUAUCUUUAUUGUUGCAAUAGGGACAUUGCCUCAAUUAGGUGUGGGGGAGAUUAGAACUUUUGAUGCGAUAUAAUGCUUUAUUUUGAUGCACUUCCCUACAUGUCCUCUUGUGAAUUUUUGGCCGGGGUUGUUGUGCUUACUUUGUGUGCUUAGCCUUCUAACAAAGAACCCUUAGGUGAGUUGUUUGAGCCUUAUUUGAGCAAAUUCAACACAUACAUAUCUUAUAUGCUCAAUUUUUCUUGGAUUGUGUGAACAUAUGUAUUUGACUACCUAGAACUUGCUUGCUUAUACUUAUUAACUCCGUGUUUCUUGAGAAUUGAUGGGAUUCAAAUGAUAAGGCACUAGGAUUACCCGUGUUGGCCUUAAUUUCAUAUCUUCGCCUAUAUUAUCCCCUAGUGAACCAAGUUUGAGCUUAAUGUUAUUAUUCUUUUUUUUUUGUUCAUAUUUAACCCCAAGCCGAUAAGCCAUUUUAUUGGAUUAAGCCAAACGCUUACUUGAACCCAUAGGAAUUUGAGGAAUUGUUCUUUGAUUCAUUACAUUAGAUUAUUUAGAGUUGCAUUCAUUAUACGAUAUUAUUCCAAAGUUGUAAUUGAAAGUAUUCAUAUUGUGGCACAGUUAUAAAUUCAUAUAUUUUUGCCAAAAGUAUCUCAUUAUCUAGCCCUUUAAAAAAUAAUAAUAAUGAAAAGGGGCUGAAAAAAGAAAAAAUGAAAGAGAAAAGAAAAAAUAAAUAUUACGAGUCCUUAAAAAAAAAGGACUCGUGAAAAACAAAGAAAGUAUGUUCUUGUAUUGCAUUGAUCAUCGCUUAUGAAAUGUUGUGUUGUUCUUGAUGCGACUUGCGUUCAUUGUGAUGUGAUGAAUUGAUAGAUUAAUUCCUCAGUCUCACUAGCCGUUAAUAUCCUCUUUCCUACCCCAACCAUGGCCCCAUUACAACCUUUAAUUAAGACCUUUGAUUAUGAACGUCAACUUCUUGAUGAAUUGUGGAGUUGAUUUGAUUUGCUGGCAAGCCUCUGGGAUUCGUUGUUUACUUCAUGUGCUUUGAGUGAAUAUAGCCUAAACACUUAGCGUGAGAGCUUUUACUUAUAUACAUUCCACAUUUUGUGAGGUUAGUUGGUUCUUGCAUACUUUGAAUCUGACGUAAUUGAUAACACGGCUAAGUGCUAGUGAGUAUUCCAAUUCUUGGUUUGGACAUGUGCUUGAGGACAGUUUCCUCACUUCAUUAAGUUGGCCUUAUCGUCAAAGACCUUCAAUUUUGAACUUUUAUUCAGGUUGUUCUUUUAAAUAUGAAGUUUGACAGCCAGAUCCUCAAGUGACAUAACCUUUUUGUUAUGUUUUGACGUAGUUCUUAAAGUUUCUUCAUGAAUGAGGCAACUUUAAAAUAAUUUGUUUCCACAUUAAAGACAUCCAAGAAUUACAUCCCUUUUGACUUGGACAUUAUAUAUCAAGAUUUGAAACACUUGUACUUGUACCAUAACCAAACGUCCGUUGACUAUAUGGUACAACAAGUAUCUCAGUACAGCGAACCUUUUGGUACUCACAUUCUCAGUAAGCUAUUUUCUACAGAUCAUUAUCAUUUUCUACAAAUUAAUAUACAGAGUACAAGGAAUCGAAAUGAUCAUUCUAUACUAAAAACAAAACAAAUAAUUUCAUUGUUUGCAUUGAUCACAUCCAGCUUGUCAGGAAGGGAGGGAUAACAUAUUCUCUGACUUCCAUCAUGCAUGCAUCACUCCAUUUAUUCAUGAACUGGCAAUAAGGGACUUCUGUUGGUCAUACUUCGUCCAGCGGGGUGUUGAUCGCUCGCACCACCUUCUCAAUAGGAGUUUGUUUCAGUGGUGCGGACGGUGGCGGCAGCGAUGGUAGAUCCAGUGGCAGCAGCGACGGUAGGUCCGACGGCAGCGUUCAGCAAGGCGAUCAAGGCUUUUGCUAUGUCUGUCAUAGAGGAAAGUUGGUUUAUAGUGGAGCAGAGUUGACCAUUGGUAGUGCUUCAAUGGAUUUAUAUCACUUACAAAGAUAAAACAGCUUAUAUCAUUUAGAAACAAUACCACCAUCAAGAGGUCGACGAACAUGGAGAGAGUACAGUAAUCGGUGAAAGAUGAGAGGAAAAUCUCUGAAUUAUAGUGUGUAAGCUUAUGUGUAAAAACUUUUAUAUUAGGGUUCAUACUUAUUUAUUGGUUCUCCAGUUAACAAACUUUAGGGAUUCUCACUUAACAAGAUCCAAAAGAUUUAGGUACAACCAAAUAAAAAAUUAUAUCUUACAAGAUGUGAUAUCAAUAUUUAGAUAUAGAAAUCAUUCAUAAAAUGUCUUAUAGA